UACGUAGGGUGCAAGCGUUGUCCGGAAUUAUUGGGCGUAAAGAGCUCGUAGGCGGUUUGUCGCGUCGGCUGUGAAAACCCGGGGCUCAACCCCGGGCCUGCAGUCGAUACGGGCAAACUAGAGUGCGGUAGGGGAGACUGGAAUUCCUGGUGUAGCGGUGAAACGCGCAGAUAUCAGGAGGAACACCGGUGGCGAAGGCGGGUCUCUGGGCCAAUAUUGACGCUGAGGUGCGAAAGCGUGGGGAGCAAACAGG
rnacentral:rRNA from 1 species